CCCUUAGAUGUUCUGGGCCGCACGCGCACUACACUGACGGAGGCAGCGAGCAUGUCCUGCGCCGAGAGGUGUGGGGAAUCUUGUGAGUCUCCGUCGUGCUGGGGAUAGAUGGUUGCAAUUGUCGAUCUUGAACGAGGAAUACCUUGUAAGCGCGGGUCAUCAUCCCGCGCUGAAUACGUCCCUGCCCUUUGUACACACCGCCCGUCGCUCCUACCGAUUGAGUGGUCCGGUGAGGCUUUGGGAUCUGAGCGGAAAGAGCGUUUCGCUGUUUCUGCUCGGAAAACUCAGUCGAACCUUAUCAUUUAGAGGAAGGAGAAGUCGUAACA
rnacentral:rRNA from 1 species